rnacentral:rRNA from 1 species
AUUGAACGCUGGCGGCGUGCCUAACACAUGCAAGUCGAGCGGUAACAGGUGUAGCAAUACAUGCUGACGAGCGGCGGACGGGUGAGCAAUGUUUGGGAAUCUGCCUAUUAGUGGGGGACAACCCGGGGAAACUCGGGCUAAUACCGCAUACGCUCUACGGAGGAAAGCCGGGGACCGCAAGGCCUGGCGCUAAUAGAUGAGCCCAAAUUGGAUUAGCUAGUUGGUGAGGUAACGGCUCACCAAGGCGACGAUCCAUAGCUGGUUUGAGAGAACGACCAGCCACACCGGAACUGAGACACGGUCCGGACUCCUACGGGAGGCAGCAGUGGGGAAUAUUGGACAAUGGGGGCAACCCUGAUCCAGCGACGCCGCGUGGGUGAAGAAGGCCUGCGGGUUGUAAAGCCCUUUCGGUGGGGAUAAAAAGCCUUGGUUUAACACACCAGGGUCUUGAUCUAACCCAAGAAAGAAGCACCGGCUAACUCUGUGCCAGCCGCCGCAGUAAAAC